AUUUAUUGCAUCAUCCCCGAAAGCCUUCUGAAUCGUCCAAAUAGUCUCUGCAGAGGAAUGUUCAAGCUUAACACAAAAUUUGAGGGAGAUUAAUUCCUCUAAUUGCUCAGCCACUCUGAAUGUGACGGCCACACAGUACACAUACUCACUCAACGGAAUUUAGCACCACCACUGACUAGUACAGUGAAGUCGUUAUUGUUCUCACAUGCACAUUUGAG